rnacentral:rRNA from 1 species
UGCAGUCGACGAUGAACCACUUCGGUGGGGAUUAGUGGCGAACGGGUGAGUAACACGUGGGCAAUCUGCCCUGCACUCUGGGACAAGCCCUGGAAACGGGGUCUAAUACCGGAUACUGAUCCUCGCAGGCAUCUGCGAGGUUCGAAAGCUCCGGCGGUGCAGGAUGAGCCCGCGGCCUAUCAGCUAGUUGGUGAGGUAACGGCUCACCAAGGCGACGACGGGUAGCCGGCCUGAGAGGGCGACCGGCCACACUGGGACUGAGACACGGCCCAGACUCCUACGGGAGGCAGCAGUGGGGAAUAUUGCACAAUGGGCGAAAGCCUGAUGCAGCGACGCCGCGUGAGGGAUGACGGCCUUCGGGUUGUAAACCUCUUUCAGCAGGGAAGAAGCGAAAGUGACGGUACCUGCAGAAGAAGCGCCGGCUAACUACGUGCCAGCAGCCGCGGUAAUACGUAGGGCGCAAGCGUUGUCCGGAAUUAUUGGGCGUAAAGAGCUCGUAGGCGGCUUGUCACGUCGGUUGUGAAAGCCCGGGGCUUAACCCCGGGUCUGCAGUCGAUACGGGCAGGCUAGAGUUCGGUAGGGGAGAUCGGAAUUCCUGGUGUAGCGGUGAAAUGCGCAGAUAUCAGGAGGAACACCGGUGGCGAAGGCGGAUCUCUGGGCCGAUACUGACGCUGAGGAGCGAAAG